CCUACGGGAGGCAGCAGUGGGGAAUAUUGGGCAAUGGGCGCAAGCCUGACCCAGCAACGCCGCGUGAAGGAAGAAGGCUUUCGGGUUGUAAACUUCUUUUCUGAGGGACGAAGAAAGUGACGGUACCUCAGGAAUAAGCCACGGCUAACUACGUGCCAGCAGCCGCGGUAAUACGUAGGUGGCAAGCGUUAUCCGGAUUGAUUGGGUGUAAAGGGCGUGUAGGCGGGAAAGCAAGUCAGAUGUGAAAACUCAGGGCUCAACCCUGAGCCUGCAUUUGAAACUGUUUUUCUUGGGUGCUGGGGAGGCAAGCGGAAGUCGGGGUGUAGCGGUGAAAUGCGUAGAUAUACGGAGGAACGCCAGUGGCGAGGGCGGAUUGCUGGACAGUAACUGACGCUGAGGCGCGAAAGCGUGGGGAGCAAACAGGAUUAGAUACCCUUGUAGUC
rnacentral:rRNA from 1 species